UGGGGAAUCUUGCGCAAUGGGCGAAAGCCUGACGCAGCAACGCCGCGUGGAGGAUGAAGGCCCUUGGGUUGUAAACUCCUGUCGGCUGGGAAGAAAUCGUUCGGGGCUAAUACCUCCGGACGUUGACUGUACCAGCAAAGGAAGCCCCGGCUAACUCUGUGCCAGCAGCCGCGGUAAUACAGAGGGGGCCAGCGUUAUUCGGAAUUAUUGGGCGUAAAGGGCGCGUAGGCGGCCAUGCGUGUCUCCCGUGAAAUCCCUCGGCUUAACUGAGGACGUGCGGGAGAAACUGCAAGGCUCGAGUCCGGGAGAGGGGGGUGGAAUUCCCAGUGUAGCGGUGAAAUGCGUAGAUAUUGGGAGGAACACCGGUGGCGAAGGCGGCCCCCUGGACCGGUACUGACGCUGAGGCGCGAAAGCGUGGGUAGCAAACGGG
rnacentral:rRNA from 1 species